UAGGAUUUAGUGUAGUUUGGUACGCGGGAGAUUUUUGAAUUCUUAAGCCUAGGUUCAAGUCCUGGAGUUCUAG